GAACGCAAUUUACAUAUUCAACAAUAAAGGUUCAUAGCCACUGUGAUUUAUAUAUGUGUACAGAAACAAAAAACGUAAAAGCCACUGCGAUCCAGGUAGUGCUACACCCGCUCGCUGCCGCCUUCUUCCACCACCCCUGCCAACCACUCCCUCCGCGAUAUCCAGCAACUAGCCUUGUGCCGGAGACGCCUCACCUACUGCCACUCACAGUGCUCACAAUAACGCCACCACCACUGCUUCAAAUCGUCGCCGCUACUAUCUCAAGUCAGAGCCAGCAACGAGGCUCAUUGCCGACAAAGAUGGCACGAGGGAGAAGAAGACGAGAAUGGUGGAGAAUAAGAGUGGCAUCUACUUUUUAGGUAAAUCGAUGGGGCUUUUAUCGUUUUGUUGGAAAACUUGUAAAUCCCAGCAACUCACUACAAUUUACGUGUGCACUAAUGUGAAAAAAGUUUGAACUUGAAUGAAUUUAAAUCGCUCCGAUUUGUGCUGAUUUCUCUU